UCAGCCUCCACCCCAGCGUACUCCAUCAAGGAUUUCGCCAAGUUUGUCACAGUUUACCAAGUCAAGAUUUAGCGGGUCUCAUAUUGCUGCAGCGAAGCCCAACCUAAAGAUGGCUAGAAGACCAUCUCAGGCUACUGACCAACCUAGCUCAACAGCAGUGUCCAGUCCUCCUAUACCAAGCACCACUACACAAGACCCUGGAGUUCCAGUCUCCGUCCCCAGAUCAACUGCCGAUGUUACCAGUCCCACAUCAUCAUGCAGCGUUGUCUCCAUAAGUAGUUUAAUAUUCUACUGGUCCAGUGGGC